GCCUAGCCGUAACACACUAUAAACGUUCGCCAACAACUACGAGUGAUAACUUAAAACUUAAAAGACUUGACGGUACUUCAUCCAGCCUAGAGGAGCCUGUCUAAUAACCGACAACCCACGAUUAACCCGACCCUUUCUUGCCAACAGUCUAUAUACCGCCGUCGUCAGCCUACCUUGUAAAAGCAAUAAAGUAGGCUCAAUAGCACCACACUAAAACGACAGGUCGAGGUGUAACCCAUGAAAAGGACUAAGAUGGACUACAUUCUCAAACCGAGAACACGGAUAAUACUAUGAAAAUAGCAUUUGAAGGCGGAUUUAGUAGUAAGAUAAGAAUAAAAUACCUAACUGAACAUAACGCAAUGAAGUGCGUACACACCGCCCGUCAUCCCUGCCACCACAACAUAAACAUAAAUAAACACCAAACGGAAACCAAACAGGGCAAGUCGUAACAUGGUAAGUGUACUGGAAAGUGUACUUAGAAA
rnacentral:rRNA from 1 species